rnacentral:rRNA from 1 species
AGAACGAACGCUGGCGGCGUGCUUAACACAUGCAAGUCGCGUGCGCAGUCUGUAGCAAUACAGGCCGGCGCACGGCGCACGGGUGCGUAACACGUGGGCAAUCUGCCCUCUGAUGGGGAAUAACCCCGCGAAAGCGGGGCUAUACCGCAUAACAUUUCGAGGACCUCGGUUCUUGAACUGAAAGCAGUAAUGCGUCGGAGGAGGAGCCCGCGCCCGAUUAGCUAGUUGGUGAGGUAACGGCUCACCAAGGCAAUGAUCGGUAGCUGGUCUGAGAGGAUGAUCAGCCACACUGGAACUGAGACACGGUCCAGACUCCUACGGGAGGCAGCAGUGGGGAAUCUUGCACAAUGGGCGAAAGCCUGAUGCAGCGACGCCGCGUGGGGGAUGAAGCUUUUCGGAGUGUAAACCCCUUUCGACUGGGACGUAAACCCGCAAGGGAUUGACGGUACCAGUAUAAGAAGCCCCGGCUAACUACGUGCCAGCAGCCGCGGUAGGACGUAGGGGGCCAGCGUUGUUCGGAAUUACUGGGUGUAAAGGGUUCGUAGGCGGUGUGGCAAGUUGGGAGUGAAAUCUCUGGGCUCAACCCAGAGACUGCUUCCAAAACUGCUGUGCUUGAGUGUGAGAGAGGCUCGUGGAAUUGCAGGUGUAGCGGUGAAAUGCGUAGAUAUCUGCAGGAACACCCGUGGCGAAAGCGGCGAGCUGGAUCACUACUGACGCUGAGGAACGAAAGCUAGGGGAGCAAACAGGAUUAGAUACCCUGGUAGUCCUAGCCCUAAACGAUCAGGACUUGGGGUGCCGCCCGUUCGGGCGUCGUCCCGGAGCUAACGCGUUAAGUCCUGCACCUGGGGAGUACGGUCGCAAGACUG